GGAGCAGCUCUCCAUCUGUGGCUCCAGCCCCCACCGAUUAACCAGAAAUAAGUCGCAUCCGUUAAGGGUGCUGCUAACUGGUGAACCCUUCACAUCCCUACUGCAGAGAGUGGGAAGGGGCGAAGGGCCCGUGAAAGAGUGAGCCAGCCCGGGACUGGAGAACGGGGCCUAGAAACAGGCUAAGAUGCAGCCUUGCGAGGACUAGUGAGCUGGAAAAAAUCGUUGGCCCAUCCUGACAUAGGAUGUACAACAGGCACUUUUAAGAUAGCAGAGAUGUUAUAAACUGCUAAGAGCCUGCAUUGAGAACUUGAAAAACCAGUAUCUUUCCUGCUAGAACCUGACAAACUCCGUCAGAGCAUCCAGACUUGUGAAAAGG